CAAGUGUGUCCUGCUUUUCACAUCUCUUAUGUUCACACAUCAAGGACGCGCUGUGCUUCAGAAGACUUUGAAACUGUUCUGAAGAUGGAUUAAGAGUGAAGCCUGAACAGUUUGAACAGCUCUUACUUUUAACAACUGUUCAACAUAGCUUUCAUUCCCUUGUGGACUUUUUUUUCUGUUGCUAUUUCCCUGGUUUUUGUUCUGAGAAGUCGGUGACAAUGGACAGCAGGGUGUUUUUCUUGUGGAUGGGGGCUUCAAUUUUGUCACUGGCAUUCAUCUUAGGCUGUCUUUCCUAUCUGAAAGAGAGAACAAGGACAUUAAAACAGGUAUCACAAUACUGUAUUUCAUAAAACUCGCAGGAUAAAAGUGCUUCAUCUGCCAAACGCACACACGCACUGAAGUCCUCAGCUUUUUGAUUUUGGUCCAGGUUUCUAUUAGAGGUGGUAUUAUUCACAAAGGAGUCAGUGGUGCGAGAAAGAAACUGCCUAAAAAUCUCAUUCCUAUCCUGGUGUGCUCAAUGAAGCCUUCACAAGCCUCUGCCUGGUUACUGUCUGUCUCUGAAACUCCCGUCUGAAUGCACAAUGGAUUUAGAAUCGCAUGCAGACACACACACACUCACACACACACGCACACAAAGAAUACAUGCUCAUGCUCUACUUGAAAAACUCAUUCUCAAGUCAGUCCUGGUGAAAUAACAAAUAACAUAUGAGAGGAUGCGUUGAGCCUGGAAAUCAUUUCUCUUCUGUGCUGCUGAUACAUUGAAGUGGGAAGUCCUAGCAGGCCCACUCCUCCACAGUUCAGCUGUGUAGAGAUGGCCACAGAACUAUGCACUGUGUGUCUCUGAAGAGGGGCUCCUCCUCCACAAGCACAUUUACACACAUGCAGUUACAUGAAUAAUUCAUUCCCUUCACUUUAAGCACUCUGAAAACAAUAAGUAUUAUAUCAAGAUAAUGUUAUUGUCAAAGUAAUGAAAAUUGUUCAGGAUUUACUCACCCUCGUGUCAUUCUAGACAGUUUUUACUUCUCCCAUGGAACAAAACAGACAAUGUUUUGCAAUGUUACUGGGGACCUAGUAUAACGUACUGUAUUGUGUGGGACUCCACAGAGCCAAUGUCCAGCACGGUGUGAAGAUGAACUGUGUUAGUUUGACAUUAAUCAUGCAGAAUAUAAUUGUACUUACUAUAUAUUUCACAUAAAUCAUAUAUUUUUAAAACUGAAAAAUAAAAUUUAAAUCAUUUUAAUAAAGUUAACCAUUUGAAU
rnacentral:lncRNA from 1 species